GUACUGCUGAGGAGUUUCAUAAUAGGACGAAACAGCCGUCCAGUGC
rfam:Schistosoma rodhaini strain Burundi genome assembly, scaffold: SROB_scaffold0013638